rnacentral:rRNA from 1 species
GACGAACGCUGGCGGCGUGCUUAACACAUGCAAGUCGAACGGAAAGGCCCUGCUUUUGUGGGGUGCUCGAGUGGCGAACGGGUGAGUAACACGUGAGUAACCUGCCCUUGACUUUGGGAUAACUUCAGGAAACUGGGGCUAAUACCGGAUAGGAGCUCCUGCUGCAUGGUGGGGGUUGGAAAGUUUCGGCGGUUGGGGAUGGACUCGCGGCUUAUCAGCUUGUUGGUGGGGUAGUGGCUUACCAAGGCUUUGACGGGUAGCCGGCCUGAGAGGGUGACCGGCCACAUUGGGACUGAGAUACGGCCCAGACUCCUACGGGAGGCAGCAGUGGGGAAUAUUGCACAAUGGGCGGAAGCCUGAUGCAGCAACGACGCGUGCGGGAUGACGGCCUUAGGGUUGUAAACCGCUUUCGCCUGUGACGAAGCGUGAGUGACGGUAAUGGGUAAAGAAGCACCGGCUAACUACGUG